UAGGACUACACUUCCCGCCGUGCCCCGCGCUGGCCGGCCGGGCUGGCUCUGGCUGGGGGAGGCUGGUUCCUAUUUAAAUCCAGGCAGCUGGAAAAUGGCGGCGCGAGGCUGAGUGCGGGGAAACGGAGCGGAGGAGGCGCGGCGGAGCCCGGCCGAAAACCAGGAUCCUUGGUUAUCAUAACUAGAGAUACUUAAGUGAUGGAGUACUCAUGAAGUAUUUUUGAAGAGGCAGAUUUUUACAAGGUUACUGCUAGACUGUUUAACACAGGAGAACAUCAAAACACCAGGUAAAGUUUUGACUCUGAAAUGA